rnacentral:rRNA from 1 species
CGAACGCUGGCGGCGUGCUUAACACAUGCAAGUCGAACGGAAAGGCCCUGCUUGCAGGGUACUCGAGUGGCGAACGGGUGAGUAACACGUGGGUGAUCUGCCCUGCACUUCGGGAUAAGCUUGGGAAACUGGGUCUAAUACCGGAUAGGAACCAUCUUUAGUGUGGUGGUUGGAAAGUUUUUUCGGUGUAGGAUGAGCUCGCGGCCUAUCAGCUUGUUGGUGGGGUAAUGGCCUACCAAGGCGGCGACGGGUAGCCGGCCUGAGAGGGUGUACGGCCACAUUGGGACUGAGAUACGGCCCAGACUCCUACGGGAGGCAGCAGUGGGGAAUAUUGCACAAUGGGCGCAAGCCUGAUGCAGCGACGCCGCGUGGGGGAUGAAGGCCUUCGGGUUGUAAACUCCUUUCGCUAGGGACGAAGCUUUUUGUGACGGUACCUAGAUAAGAAGCACCGGCUAACUACGUG